rnacentral:rRNA from 1 species
ACUCAAAUGAAUUGACGGGAGCCUGCACAAGCGGUGGAGCAUGUGGUUUGAUUCGAAGCAACGCGCAGAACCUUACCAGCGUUUGACAUGUCCGGACGAUUUCCAGAGAUGGAUCUCUUUCCUUCGGGAACUGGAACACAGGUGCUGCAUGGCUGUCGUCAGCUCGUGUCGUGAGAUGUUGGGUUAAGUCCCGCAACGAGCGCAACCCUCGCCUUUAGUUACCAUCAUUUAGUUGGGGACUCUAAAGGAACCGCCGGUGAUAAGCCGGAGGAAGGUGGGGAUGACGUCAAGUCCUCAUGGCCCUUACGCGCUGGGCUACACACGUGCUACAAUGGCGGUGACAGUGGGCAGCAAUCCUGCAAGGGUGAGCUAAUCUCCAAAAGCCGUCUCAGUUCGGAUUGCACUCUGCAACUCGAGUGCAUGAAGGCGGAAUCGCUAGUAAUCGCGGAUCAGCAUGCCGCGGUGAAUACGUUCCCAGGCCUUGUACACACCGCCCGUCACACCAUGGGAGUUGGGUUCACCCGAAGGCGUUGCGCUAACUCAGCAAUGAGAGGCAGGCGACCACGGUGGGCUUAGCGACUGGGGUGAAGUCGUAACA